GAAUGAGUAUCUGUGAGAGGAUUUGGAAGACCAGUAAACCUGUAUGUGUGGUUAACCUGUUUAUUUUUCUCUUUCUCUUACUUUUCUUUCCUUUCUCCCUUUUCCAUAGAUCUCCCCUGGAAUCUGGGCAAGAUAUACAGUGAGAUGAUAUUUGUCAAGUGAUCCUCACCCUGGCAACGUGCUGGUGCGAAAGUGUCCUGAAAGCAGUAAGACGGAAAUUGUGUUACUCAAUCACGGUCAGUAUCAAGUAAGACAUCGGCCGAGACUGCCACAAAGUCGACAUAGAAGCGAAUUCAUCACAUAUUACACCCCAUUUUUCACCCGCUGGCUCCCAGGUCAGCUGCACACCCAGGUCUGUACGACUGCAGCAGACUAAAAGCAUUUCAUUUAAGUGGCCCUGAAGCUCUAAUGUGUUUUAAGAAGUGCACAUAUCCACGUCCCUCUUAUUACAAGCAGAUAUGCAAACACACCGGUACAAACUCUCCUGCAGUUCACUGAACUUCUGUUUUCCCAGAAGACGUAACAGCUCUAUAUAAAUCCAUGGAGAUAAUGUUGUGAUAAAUAUGAUAAUGCCGUUCUAGCAGUGACAUUUGGUUCGUUUCUUUGUCCAAACGCUAAUUCAUGGCAUGUCAUGUUAAGUUUGCUGAAAACCAUGGGUUGUGUCUGCGUUGAUUAAUUGGAGUUGCAAAAUGGUGUAGUCCUAGUGGUAUUCCAUUGAACUGUGUUUGUCUCAGUGAGGGAUUUGCUGGCCUUCAAUUUAACCCGAAGCAGUUAAUGAGGCCCACAAGAUUCCUUGUUAACAACUAUCAAGUAAUCUCAUCUGUCUUUCUGUAAUGCUACAACAUCAUGAAACACCAGUUUCCAUUUACUUAGCCGUCUAAGACUCUUGAUAGCUCUCAGUAUUUGGAUUAUAAAUGUAUGCUGAUGUUUAUCUUUUUUAUGUUGAACAGUAUUUUUAUUUUUAUUUUUUUGUAAGAAAUUAAUACUUUUUUUCAGUAAGGAUACAUUAAAUGGAUGAAAAGUGACAGUAAGAACUUUUAAAAAUGUAAAAAAAAAUAUAUAUAUUUCAAAUAAAUAUGAUAUAUGCUGUUCUUUUGAGCUUUCUAUUAAUCAAAGAAUCCUGGAAAAAAAAAAAGUUUAGAAACCUAAAAGAAAUGUUUAUUGAGCAGACAUUUAGCAUUUUUGAAUGAUAUCUGAAGGAUGAUGUGACAAUGAAGAGUAGAGUGAUGACUUUUACUUUUGAACAUUUGUUCAGACACCUCAAACACUAACAGAACACAUUGUGUCUCUGUCCAAGGUGCUGAACCAGGACUUCAGGUUGGACUACUGCAGACUGUGGCAGAGUUUGAUAAAGGGAGACUUGAAAGGCAUCGAGCGUUACAGCUCUAUCCUGUGUUCACUUGUGUCCUCACCGCCCGCUCCUGGACGUCAGUAAAUGUUGGUAUCAGCCAGACACCUGUCACUCAAACUGAGUGCACAGAGAUCUAUAACGUCUGCCUGAGGGGUGAAGUGCAAACCGGUUGUGCCCGGGAUGAGAGGGAUCUGUGAUGAUGUUUCCUGCCCGUUUCUUCACGCUGGAGGUGUACAAGUCCUGAAGGAUGUGGAGAUCUGAACGAAUGCGACGCUGUACAUCCCUCAGAUCAGUGAGCUGCUGAACCGGGUUCCCUGACAGAUGCUGCUGCUUCUGAAAACCAACGACCUGCUGAGAGGCGUCGAGACUAUCCUGCAGACUAGAGCCAGCUCCAGCUCCUUCAUCAGGAUGUCCCGCUGCUGUACUCAUGCCAUCGCCAGAAACCAAGUCUCGGACCAGGUUACUGUAGAUCUCUCUGUUAGAGCGUUGGUCUCUCUGUAUGAACUUAUGGUGUGACUCCACAGCUUCACACUGGCCAGAUGGGUCUGUUACUUCCUCAACUUCCUGUCCUAUUCAAACUGAAAGCCUUGAACCAGGGCAUUACACCCUCUUCACUGAACUCAGGACACUGCCAAGUGCAAUGUUAGCUUUUUUUAAGGUUGAGGGGCUACAGUGGCAUGCAUCACAGAAAACCCCUCACUUCCCCCAGCCUGAAGGCAACAGCCAGCAGUCAGGAAGUCCAACCCUGCCAUACUAAUGCCCUGAGGCUAGAGAGAAGAUUUUAGCUGCCAAGCAUCGGAUGAUGGACGCAGUUAUCUGCUCAACAAGUCUCUUCCACACUCUCUGCUCAGCUGCACAGCUGAAACCAAAUUGCUGAAUCCCAGCUUCACCAUCCACCAUAAUGUGUCAUUUACUGUGUCCACAGUUAAUCCUGUCAGGCACGAAUUGCAGCUAUAGUGUGUUUCCAGGAGCUGUGCAAACUUGUAGUUAAUAAUUUCUGUGGAUGGGAUGCACUCGUAAGUGCACUAUUAAAUUUUUCUGUCCCCUUGAUAUUAGCUCUUUACAAUUUCUGUUGUAAACUAUUUCUCACGUGUUGUUGUUGUUUGUCAUGUCAGGAAAAUUUCCUUGGUUUGCAAUAGCUGAGCUUAUAGCCCAGAAAGAUGGAGAUAGCGCUUAAAAAAAAAAGAAGGAAAGAUUAAUUGAUUGAUCUG